rnacentral:rRNA from 1 species
AGACAGCGGAGUGCCUCCGGGAACUCUGAGACAGGUGCUGCAUGGCUGUCGUCAGCUCGUGUUGUGAAAUGUUGGGUUAAGUCCCGUAACGAGCGCAACCCUUAUCCUUAGUUGCCAGCGGGUCAUGCCGGGAACUCUAGGGAGACUGCCGGUGAUAAACCGGAGGAAGGUGGGGACGACGUCAAGUCAUCAUGGCCCUUAUGGGUAGGGCUACACACGUGCUACAAUGGCCGGUACAGAGGGCUGCGAACUCGCGAGAGUAAGCGAAUCCCAAAAAGCCGGUCCCAGUCCGGAUCGCAGUCUGCAACUCGACUGCGUGAAGUCGGAAUCGCUAGUAAUCGCGGAUCAGAAUGCCGCGGUGAAUACGUUCCCGGGCCUUUC